GUAGGUGGCAAGCGUUGUCCGGAAUUAUUGGGCGUAAAGCGCGCGCAGGCGGUCCUUUAAGUCUGAUGUGAAAGCCCACGGCUCAACCGUGGAGGGUCAUUGGAAACUGGAGAACUUGAGUACAGAAGAGGAAAGCGGAAUUCCACGUGUAGCGGUGAAAUGCGUAGAGAUGUGGAGGAACACCAGUGGCGAAGGCGGCUUUCUGGUCUGUAACUGACGCUGAGGCGCGAAAGCGUGGGGAGCAAACAGGAUUAGAUACCCUGGUAGUCCACGCCGUAAACGAUGAGUGCUAAGUGUUAGGGGGUUUCCGCCCCCCUUAGUGCUGCAGCUAACGCAUUAAGCACUCCGCCUGGGAGUACGGCCGCAAGGCUG
rnacentral:rRNA from 1 species